UACGAAGGGGGCUAGCGUUGUUCGGAAUUACUGGGCGUAAAGCGCGCGUAGGCGGUGAUCCAUGUCAGAGGUGAAAUCCUGGGGCUCAACUCCAGAAUUGCCUUUGAAACGGGAUCGCUAGAGUCCGAGAGAGGAUGGCGGAAUUCCUAGUGUAGAGGUGAAAUUCGUAGAUAUUAGGAAGAACACCGGUGGCGAAGGCGACUUCCUGGCCUGUUCUUGACGCUGAGGCGCGAAAGCUAGGGUAGCAAACGGG
rnacentral:rRNA from 1 species